rnacentral:rRNA from 1 species
AGGACGAACGCUGGCGGCGCGCUUAACACAUGCAAGUCGAGCGAGAACCGAAGCCUUCGGGCAUCGGGGAAAGCGGCGAACGGGUGAGUAACACGUGGGCAACCCACCCUUGGUACCGGGAUAGCCCGGGGAAACCCGGAUUAAUACCGGAUGGCCCAGCAGCCUUUCGGGGCGGCUGGAAAAGGGAGCUUCGGCCUCCGACCAAGGACGGGCCCGCGGCGGAUUAGCUUGUUGGUGGGGUAACGGCCUACCAAGGCGACGAUCCGUAGCUGGUCUGAGAGGACGAUCAGCCACACUGGGACUGAGACACGGCCCAGACUCCUACGGGAGGCAGCAGUGGGAAUCUUGCGCAAUGGGCGAAAGCCUGACGCAGCGACGCCGCGUGGGGGAAGAAGGCUUUCGGGUUGUAAACCCCUUUCAGGAAGGACGAAGCUCCUCGGGUGAAUAGCCCAGAGGGUGACGGUACUUCCAGAAGAAGCCCCGGCUAACUACGCGCCAGCAGCCGC